rnacentral:rRNA from 1 species
CCUACGGGUGGCAGCAGUAGGGAAUAUUGCUCAAUGGGGGAAACCCUGAAGCAGCAACGCCGCGUGGAGGAUGAAGGUUUUCGGAUUGUAAACUCCUUUUGUUAGAGAAGAUAAUGACGGUAUCUAACGAAUAAGCACCGGCUAACUCCGUGCCAGCAGCCGCGGUAAUACGGAGGGUGCAAGCGUUACUCGGAAUCACUGGGCGUAAAGGGCGCGUAGGCGGGAUAGCAAGUCAGAUGUGAAAUCCUAUGGCUUAACCAUAGAACUGCAUUUGAAACUGUUAUUCUAGAGUAUGGGAGAGGUAGGUGGAAUUCGUGGUGUAGGGGUAAAAUCCGUAGAGAUCAAGAGGAAUACUCAUUGCGAAGGCGACCUGCCAGAACAUAACUGACGCUGAUGCGCGAAAGCGUGGGGAGCAAACAGGAUUAGAUACCCGAGUAGUC